UGUUAUUGAUCUUUUUGUCACAGCACUGC
rnacentral:piRNA from 1 species